rnacentral:rRNA from 1 species
GACAAGGGACCCGGCGAAAUUGUAGUACCAGUGAAGAUGCUGGUUACCCGCGACUGGACGGAAAGACCCCGUAGAGCUUUACUGCAGCCUGAUAUUGGACUUUGGCAUUGGAUGUACAGGAUAGGUGGGAGGCAGGGAAUCAUAGACGCCAGUCUAUGAGGAGCCGACGGUGGGAUACCACCCUUUCAGUGCUGGGGUUCUAACCGCUGGCCGUUAUCCGGCAGCGGGACAGUGUCAGGUGGGCAGUUUGACUGGGGCGGUCACCUCCUAAAGGGUAACGGAGGUGCCCAAAGGUCCUCUCAGGAUGGUUGGGAACCAUCUGGUGAGUGCAAAGGCAGAAGGGGGCCUGACUGUGAGAGGGACACCUCGAGCAGGGACGAAAGUCGGGCUUAGUGAUCCGGCGGUAUCGAGUGGGAGAGCCGUCGCUCAACGGAUAAAAGCUACCUCGGGGAUAACAGGCUGAUCUCCCCCAAGAGUCCACAUCGACGGGGAGGUUUGGCACCUCGAUGUCGGCUCGUCGCAUCCUGGGGCUGGAGCAGGUCCCAAGGGUUGGGCUGUUCGCCCAUUAAAGCGGCACGUGAGCUGGGUUCAGAACGUCGUGAGACAGUUCGGUCCCUAUCCGUCGCGGGCGCAGGAAAUUUGAGGGGAGCCGUCCCUAGUACGAGAGGACCGGGAUGGACGUACCGCUGGUGAACCAGUUGUCACGCCAGUGGCACAGCUGGGUAGCUAAGUACGGAAGGGAUAAACGCUGAAGGCAUCUAAGCGUGAAGCCCACCCCAAGAUAAGAUUUCCCAUCCGGUAAGCGGAGUAAGGCCCCUCGUAGAAGACGAGGUAGAUAGGUCCGGGGUGUAAGUGCAGCAAUGCACUUAGCUGACGGAUACUAAUAGGCCGAGGGCUUGAUCUUA